UACGUAGGGUGCGAGCGUUGUCCGGAAUUAUUGGGCGUAAAGAGCUCGUAGGCGGUGUGUUACGUCGGCCGUGAAAACCUGCAGCUUAACUGUGGGCGUGCGGUCGAUACGGGCAUCACUGGAGUUCGGCAGGGGAGACUGGAAUUCCUGGUGUAGCGGUGAAAUGCGCAGAUAUCAGGAGGAACACCGGUGACGAAGGCGGGUCUCUGGGCCGAUACUGACGCUGAGGAGCGAAAGCCAGGGGAGCAAACGGGG
rnacentral:rRNA from 1 species